AUUGAACGCUGGCGGCAUGCUUUACACAUGCAGGUCGAGCGGCAGCGCGGGGUCAACUCUGGCUUCGAGCGGCGAACGUGUGAGUAAUUCAUCGGAACUUAUCCUCUUGUGGUUGAUAACCCAGCGAAAGUUGGGCUAAUACCGCAUGUGCCCUGAGGGUAAAGCGUGGGAUCUGCGAGAGCCUCGCGCUGGACUAUCGUCCGAUGUCCGAUUAGCUAGUUGGUGGUGUAAAGUCUUACCAAGGCGACGAUCCGUAGCUGGUCUUCGAUGAUGAUCAGCCACAAUGGGAAUGAGAAAUGGACCAGACUCCUACGGGAGCCAGAAGUGGGAAAUUUUGGACAAUGGGGGAAAAACUCAUACAGCCAUGCCGCGUGAGUGAAGAAGGCCUUCGGGUUGUAAAGAUCUUUCGCAGGGAACAAAAUGGGCGGGACUAAUACUCCUGUCUGAUGACGGUACCGUAAGAAGAAGCACCGGCUAACUACGUG
rnacentral:rRNA from 1 species